rnacentral:rRNA from 1 species
AAUGCCGGAUGAGUUAUAUAAGUGCAUGUUUAUAUAGGAAAAGUUGGGGAGACCUGACGCUGAAAGAUGGACUCGCGUCCCAUUAGCUAGUUGGUAGGGUAAUGGCCUACCAAGGCGACGAUGGGUAGCCGGCCUGAGAGGGUGGCCGGCCACACUGGGACUGAGACACGGCCCAGACUCCUACGGGAGGCAGCAGUGGGGAAUUUUGCGCAAUGCUCGUAAGAGUGACGCAGCGACGCCGCGUGAAUGACGAAGGCCUUCGGGUCGUAAGGUUCUUUCGACAGGGAAGAAAAUGCCUAUAAGUAACUGUGUAUGUAUUGACGGUACCUGUAUAAGCAGCCCCGGCUAACUCCGUGCCAGCAGCCGCGGUAAUACGGAGGGGGCGAGCGUUGUUCGGAGUGACUGGGCGUAAAGAGCACGUAGGCGGUGUUGUAAGUCAUUAGUCAAAGACUAGAGCUCAACUUUAGUAAGGCUAGUGAUACUAUAAUACUAGAGUAUCAGAGAGGAUUGCAGAAUUCCUGGUGUAGCGGUGAAAUGCGUAGAUAUCAGGAGGAAUACCGUUAGCGAAGGCGGCAAUCUGGCUGGAAACUGACGCUGAGGUGCGAAAGCGUGGGUAGCAAACAGGAUUAGAUAUCCUGGUAGUCCACGCUGUAAACGAUGGAUGCUAGGUGUUGGGCUUUUAAGUUCAGUGCCGCAGC